rnacentral:rRNA from 1 species
UACGGGGGGAGCAAGCGUUGUUCGGAAUUACUGGGCGUAAAGGGCGCGUAGGCGGCCUUCUAAGUCGGACGUGAAAUCCCUCGGCUCAACCGAGGAACUGCGUCUGAUACUGGAAGGCUUGAAUCCGGGAGAGGGAUGUGGAAUUCCAGGUGUAGCGGUGAAAUGCGUAGAUAUCUGGAGGAACACCGGUGGCGAAGGCGGCAUCCUGGACCAACACUGACACUGAGGAGCGAAAGCCAGGGGAGCAAACGGG